rnacentral:lncRNA from 8 species
UUGAUUAAUAAUCAGUCCUCAUCGUUAUUGCUCCCAGCUAAAUAUUUCCCCUUCACUACUCCUCCAGCUACUCCAUACAGAGGAGAGAGAGACCACACACACUCCUCUAGCUACUCCAUACAGAGGAGAGAGAGACAACACACACUCCUCCAGCUACUCCAUACAGAGGAGAGAGAGAGACCACACACACUCCUCCAGCUACUCCAUACAGAGGAGAGAGAGAGAGAGACCACACACACUCCUCCAGCUACUCCAUACAGAGGAGAGAGAGAGAGACCACACACACUCCUCCAGCUACUCCAUACAGAGGAGAGAGAGAGACCACACACUCCUCCAGCUACUCCAUACAGAGGAGAGAGAGAGACCACACACACUCCUCCAGCUACUCCAUACAGAGGAGAGAGAGAGACCACACACACUCCUCCAGCUACUCCAUACAGAGGAGAGAGAGAGAGAGACCACACACACUCCUCCAGCUACUCCAUACAGAGGAGAGAGAGAGAGACCACACACACUCCUCCAGCUACUCCAUACAGAGGAGAGAGAGAGAGACCACACACACUCCUCCAGCUACUCCAUACAGAGGAGAGAGAGAGAGAGACCACACACUCCUCCAGCUACUCCAUACAGAGGAGAGAGAGACCACACACACUCCUCCAGCUACUCCAUACAGAGGAGAGAGAGAGACCACACACACUCCUCCAGCUACUCCAUACAGAGGAGAGAGAGAGAGACCACACACACUCCUCCAGCUACUCCAUACAGAGGAGAGAGAGACCACACACACUCCUCCAGCUACUCCAUACAGAGGAGAGAGAGAGAGACCACACACACUCCUCCAGCUACUCCAUACAGAGGAGAGAGAGAGAGACCACACACACUCCUCCAGCUACUCCAUACAGAGGAGAGAGAGACCACACACACUCCUCCAGCUACUCCAUACAGAGGAGAGAGAGAGAGACCACACACAUUCCUCCAGCUACUCCAUACAGAGGAGAGAGAGAGAGACCACACACACUCCUCCAGCUACUCCAUACAGAGGAGAGAGAGACCACACACACUCCUCCAGCUACUCCUUACAGAGGAGAGAGAGAGAGAGAGACCACACACACUCCUCCAGCUACUCCAUACAGAGGAGAGAGAGAGAGAGAGACCACACACACUCCUCCAGCUACUCCAUACAGAGGAGAGAGAGAGACCACACGCACUCCUCCAGCUACUCCAUACAGAGGAGAGAGAGAGACCACACGCACUCCUCCAGCUACUCCAUACAGAGGAGAGAGAGACCACACACACUCCUCCAGCUACUCCAUACAGAGGAGAGAGAGAGCACACGAACACUCAGCCCUGCAGCGACACUACAUCCAGUUCAUUGGCAUUCAGGCCAGGCCUGGGUGGGCCUUAGGCCGACCGUGGGCAGGCCAGAGAGGCAGGCCACAGAAGCCAGCCAGCGGGUUCAGUAGCAGAGUGUCUGGGCCAGGCCAGGGCUGCUCUAAUCAGGGUAGUUCCAGCAACAUGACCGUGGGGGUGUUAGGGGUGAGGCCCAACAUGUGUGGCCAUCUGGCCCAUGUCUGA